GGUAGACCAGACGGUCGCGUGGCCCUCCCAACUGGGUCAUGAGGAAAGUCCGGGCUCCGCAGGGCAGGGAUGACGGAUAACGUCCGCCGCAGGUAACUGUAGGGAAAGUGCAACAGAAACACUCCGCCGAAACGGGUAAUGCCGUGGUAAGGUUGAAAUGGUGAGGUAAGAGCUCACCGGUGCUGUGGAGACACAGCAGCCGUGUAAACCCCAUCCGGAGCAAGACUGAGAAGGGCUAUAUGUGGUGCGGCCCGUACCCGCCCGAGGUAAGUCGCUUGAUGCCGCAAGCAAUUGCGGUGCUAGAUGGAUGAUCGUCUAAUACAGAACCCGGCUUACGGUCUGCCC
rnacentral:RNase_P_RNA from 1 species